CCCCCCGCCCCAAAAAAUACAAAAUAAAAACACCCCACAAACACACCCUCCCCCGCAACCUUGGUCCAACCUUGGUCACUGGUCUCCUCUGGUUGAGAGUUGUUAGAAGAGGCCCUCUCUCUACUUUUCAUCUGGCACACAGUAGAUCAUCCUCACUUUUUUUGUUUUUGUUGAUUUGCUUUGUUUCUUUGUCAAAAGCCAGAAUCCACUGUCUCUCUCUCAAACUCUACUCUCUACCACUACCACUCUCGCACCUACCUUCUAUCUACUCUGUGUCCUUCCUUCUGUCUCUUACACCUAAUACACUUAUGGGUGUCUAAAUUUCACUUCAUCACAAGUCGUCAUUCGGUUCUUAUGGACAACAGCGAAUUGGGGUGAGCAAGAGGGGAGAGAGUAACAAAUCUGACAUGUAGGUGUCAGAACUGUUUUGAUUUGACACGCAAUUGGAAGGGAUAUGACUCCAUCGACAUGACACACACAGCAUUCAUACUGAACCAGAACUACAACCUUUUGCAAGAGCGAGUCAGCUGUGUAUGCAUUAGUGUUGCUUUUCUCGCUGUCCUGUUCUGACAGAGAUUGCAAUGCCUCAUGGUCGCCAGUGGGUGGCAGCAUGGACGUGGUCUGAUCCAGCUUCAUACCUAAUUGGCUCCUUGUCUUUGGUGCACUCUUGUUGUCGGAUGCCUAUUGGUCCACUAUAACAGACAUAUUUCUCCAUCAGAACCACACCAUGUAGCACUUUAGAUGGCCAUGACUUGCUUGGUGAUGAUGGACUGAGUAUGUUACAUAUGACUGUCUUAAGGGCUCCGUGAACGUUUGAGAUUCAAGGCCAUGUUUCUUUCUUGAAGGGCCUGGUGGCUACUGUGCUAGCCAGGAAUGAGCACUGCAUGUGGCAAAAUUCACGUUAGCAAGUCAACUGAAUGUUAAAGAACAUAAUCAUGAAUUAUGUCAUAGAAGCCCCAAGAAGGUUUGUGAAGGUGAACAUCCAUUGUAAUACUGUUUUGUUUCGCCUGUACAGGCCAGCAUAAUAAGAUGACUUAAAGCUAACUGAUUCCAUUCGAUGGGGAAAGAGUGUUGUGUAACGCAUGGUGCAUUGUUUGCUUCAGUUGUUGUACAUCUCUCCAUCCUUGUGUGCCUCAGUAGAGUGCAAGAAAAAGACAAAAAAAAAAUCUUAUUUUGUAAAAACAAUAAAAAAGGAGCUAAGUCAUAAGACAAACAGACCUAACGCAUGUCCAUAAAAGAUUUAACAUACAUUUAAGCCUGUAUCAUUAUUUUAGUGAGCGAUACAAAUCCUCUAAGUGCUAUUACAGUCUUUGAGAAAGAGGGUCUGCAGAAUAACUCAAAACAGCUUUGUCCUUCAUUCAGUGUCUUUUUGGUGUGCCUGGCUCAUAUUUUAUUUCAGAACAUAAAAUCCAUAACUGUUUAAAGGUGUGGUUCUGAUUAAAUAGGUUCUAUAAUAGGUUCAGGAGUCACUGUAGCACUGUGUAACGGCUAAGUAACGGCUCCUCUGGUUGUAAAAGACACUUUCUGUGCGCAAUGCUAUAUGUGGUGUUCUCAUAGGGCCUCUAUCUUCAUGUGCUUAAAGAGAAACAUUAGAAAUCACGCCAUGUGCUGUUUAUAACCAUCUGUAAUUAUCCUCAGUCACAAGAUAGAACGUGUUACUGAUUGCUUUCCCCCAUCCACCCACCCUUGUCAAAUAUGGACAUAUUGGAAUAGCUAGUACCCUGAACAUUGCAGAGGUGUUGAAUGUCAAUGGAUUGUGUUUCAUGUUUAUAUUCGUUCAGUUGAUCAAUUUGUCAAUCUAAUCAAACAUGUCUGUGACAAACAUGAAAGCGAUGGCUCCCUCUUACCUCGGGAGGGGAGCAGGGUAUAUUUAAGCCGAGACCACUGCUGUACAGUCCUCUCUCCUUUAUUUCCUCUCUAUCUCUCUCUGUCUCUCUCUUUUUCUCUCUCUCUGUCAUUUUUCAUUCACUUCUUUCUAGGAUGUGUAUAUCCUGUGUAGCAUCUCUAUGCUCAGUAAGGUCUUUAUGCACAGAACUAGACACUUGAUGAGACAGUACAGGACCCAAACCAAGGCCAGCUCCACCGACCGCUCAUACAAACACACACACACACACAAACACACACCCACACACACACACACACACACACACACAACUACUUCCUGCAUGUGUCGCAUGUCGAGCAAGUCAGUGGUUUGAAAUGGGCAUUCCAUAAAGCAGCAUUCAUGUAUUUGUGUGUGAAUUGCCCUGGAAUAAUACGAAGGUGUAAGUUAACAAAGCCCACCUUGCGUGCGGAAUUCAACACGGCGACUCCCUUCGUCCCUUAGGCUUUUCAACCCAAUCGUUUCUAGUAGUUUCUAGACCCGUGUCUCAAACCUGCACACAUCAUCUGCUUUUUCCAGCAUUCUGUAUAAUUUCUUUGUGGACCCUGUAUUUUGAGCUGUCCGUACCUUGUGUGUACAUCCCUAAAAUGUCCAGAACUUUUUUCCCCCUCCGUUUCCUCCCUUUUUCUUUCUUAUUUUUUUGGGGGGGGGAAAGACUCUUCUCUGUGUUCUUUUUAAGAGUCUGUUUGGGAAUUAGUGUCACUGACUUUGAGAAACAAUAUCUGUAAUGUGUAUACUCGUGCAAGACCAUUGAUGUACUUUUCAUCUACAUGUACAAUCUGCCUGCCUACACUAAAGAGACAUAUCUGUAUAUAUUAAUCAAUACUAUUUUUACUGCAUUUUUGUACAAAUAUUCAUGGUAGC
ensembl:lncRNA